GUAAGUGACUUGCUAUUCUUCCCUUUUAAACUUUAACAUGCAUCUGACAAAUAUUCAGUGCCCAUUAUGCAUGUAAAUACAAUGAUGAACAAGAUAAGCAUUGUCCCUGUCUUCAUAGAACUCCAGUCUAAAAUCAUGGACUAAGCUGGAAAUAUACUGAGUAUCCACUAGGACUAGAACAUGCUAUCUGCAUGCUAAUGUGCUCAGUAGGUGAUCUUGAUCUUUAUUAAUUCCAUUAACACUAAUUGCAACAUUGUAUAAUGUUUGCAUUUCCCCUUCAGGUGACUGUUGUCUCUUGGGCACAGGUAGCUGCCAACAGGUGAGCCUCUCAGCGGAUCCCUGAUAGAGGUAGGAUGGCAAAUAGCUUCUUUAAUAUGACAGCCUCAGUGUAGUGGCUGGCAAGGAGCUGCGAUUGGGAGGAACUGGAAGUGACACCCAAGCUCAUUGAGCAAGCAUGCUGUGAGUGCCAUGAUAAAGUGAAGAGCUCAGGAGAAAGAUUGGAUCAAUUAUAGAAAAUAAUGAAGGUACAUUUUCUUUGCAUAACUAAAUGUAGGUACUGGAAUACCUGAGUUUUGGCUGGGCACAGAACUGUCUGGAAUACAGACUGCAAUUCCCAGCCUUCUGUGCAGUUCUGUGUGGCCAUGUGACUAAGUUGUGGUCAAUAUGAGUCACGGAAGAAUAGAAGAACAACUCAGAGGAGGAAGAAGUCAGACAUAGCCAGACACGGCUGCUAGCAGUUCCACCAAUGAAAGAGGAGACCAGGAUGUUUAAAACAGGCAAACACAAGGUGCGAAAAACCAGAAGCGAAAACUUCUGAGGUCAUUUAAGCAAGGACUAUCGUUAUCCCCGGAAGCAGAGAGAAGUUCCCUUUGCCCAACAUCACACUGCAAGCACGUGUUGGAGCUGAGAUUCAAACCCAGGCAUCCAGGGUCCAGGGCCCAUGCUUUUAAUAUAUUCCAUAUCUUAGGAGAAUUUCCCCUAUUUAAACAAUAAAAGUGCAAAAAUCUUGUGGCUAGCCAAAAUUUUCAGUUGUUUGGAAAACUUAUUUAUCCAAUAAGUGGAAAACUCACUUGUCCUCCAACAAUUCUGGAUAAAUGAAAGAACGAAUUGAACUGAGACUGGAAUCCGGGUCUCCCAGUACUUUGUAGUUCCUAUCCAUAUGGCUUGUCAGGAAGGCCACAGGGAGGUUAACUAACUCUGCGUAACCAGAAACAAUCCCACAUCAGACUGUUGGCAGUGGGAGUGGAACACUCAGAGCUGAACCGCAUGCAAGAUGGUUGCAUUUUCAUUUGCAAUGUCGUCAUCUUCCUCAUGGCUAAAGAGGUAUUUUGGAGUUGACAUGAAGGCUACUGUAAUUUUUAGAGGCAUUUUCUUUCUGGCCUGUAUUUACAUAUUGUGGUAGAAGAGUCAGAAGACUUCAAGCUUCAAAAGUGAAUCUUGUUGCGAGUUACAAAAGCACCACCCGGUGGGGUGCAGCUCUCAGCAUGUGUCACCACAGGCACUGUGAUUUCCCUGUCUUCAUCCAACUUUGGUUGCUGUUCUUCAUGCUCAGGAAUUCUGCAACUGCUGUAGCUUUUGCUGUUGUUAUGUCUGUAGGUAUGGACUCAUUUCUACCAUUCUGGAAUGAAACAUUAUUUCAAGGGAAGCUUCUCAUUGUAAAAGGUCCACACAUUCAGAAGGAAACUGGGAGUACAUUUUCUCAUAGGCCUGGAGCAUUAACUGACUAUGCAUCUUUCCCCUCAGUGUUGUCAUCAUGUUGUAAGGGGAUGAGUCAUGGACAACAUUUUCACACACAUACGUGAGGUCCAUUGACCAGUCUUUAGGACAACUAGAAAUCUUUUCUUUCUUUGUUUUAAAAAGGAAGACAAGUCAAGAUACAGCAAAUAAAAAUGCUCAGCACAUUUGCUGAAAUCUUAGCAAAAUCAAAUUACUAGUAAUUUGUUAAUCACACUAUACCUGUUUUGAGCCAAUCCUACUUAACCCACCCUCCAUCUUCCUCAUGCUUGCCUCCCUGGUGAACUCCUAUUUAUGUUACAAAGCUCAGUGUUUAUGUUACUACUUUUGUGCUAUUUCUGAACGUUAAAUGUACCUCUAUUAUAGAACAUAUCUCAUGGAAUAGUUAUUAUUGCAUAUCCACUGCCCUUGUUAGGCUGUGAGUGAGCUUUCUUUCUUUCUUUUUCUUUCCUUCCCUCCUUCCUUCCCUACUUCCUCCCUCCCUCCCUCUCUCCCUCCCUCCCUCUCUCCCUCCCUCCCUUCCUUCCUUUGCUCCUUCUCUCUUUCUCUCUUUUUCAUUUCUUUUCUUUUUUUUUAAAUUUGAGACAGGGUGUCACAAAUAUGAAUGGGACCUGUGAAUAUGAUGGCUGUCACUCUCUGAUUAGAUUACAUUAUAUGGCUAAGGUGAAGGAAUUCUGCAGAUGUAAUUAAGGUCCCAGAUGAGUUGAUAUUGAGUUACUCACAAAGGAGAUUAUACUGGAUGGCCCUACCUUAAUCAGGGAAAAGCCCUUAAAAGAGGACUGGGCCUUUCCUGAAGGAGGACAGUCCACUGCUGGCUUUGAAGCAGUAAGCAGCUGUGUUUUAAGGGGGCCUAUGGAGGGGCCCAUGUGGCAAGGUCCUGAGGGUGGCCUCUAGGAGUUGGCAGCAGUUCCCAGCCACUGGCUAGCAAGAAAACAGGUGGUUCAGCCACAUAGCCACAAGGAAAUGAAUUCUACCAACAAUCCAAAUGAGCUUGGAAGUGGAUAUUUUCCAUGGUCAAGCCUCCAGACGAACACCUUAACUGUAACAUAUGAACAGCUGAGCAGAGGACCUGCUUCAGCCAUGCCUGGACUCCUGACUUGUGGAAACUGAGAUAACAAAUGUAUAUUAUUUUAAGCUGGUAAGGUUGUGGUAAUUUGUUAUGCAACAAUGCCGAAUACAGUAGGCAUCUUAAAUGUUUGUUGAACUUAAUUUAAUCAGGGAAAUAUAAUAUUUAAAAGGAAUCUUUUCUAAAGUUUUAGCCAAUUUAAUGAAUGUAGAUAUCUUAAAGAAUUGCCAUCUUCCUUUGGAUCUUCUAGCCAUGCAAUCGACUUCACAAACUUCCAAGUUUUCAUAAAUACCAGCUUCUGAUUGUCUGGAAACAGGAAGUGAGAUUCUCUCCAGCCAUCAUUUGGCAUUCUUGGGAGAUAGAAUGGAUAAAAAUUGAUGUUGAAAUGAGACCACCAUCAUUUUUCAGUCUGCUCACCACGUACAGAGCUCAGGAUGAUUAGAAAAUGUAAAACACAUGUGAGUGGCUCAAACCCCUUUAGUUAAAUCACAUUUACAUAGAUCAGUUUUCCCAAGGGAUAUAAGUUAGCUGAACUUAAGCAAUUAAAAAAAAUAAAACUAAACUAAAACCUUUUGCUAAAGCCAAAAAACAUGGAUGAGUUAAACUGUAUCAGAUGGAAUGGUUUGUUUUGAAAAGUGUUUGGUUUGUUGUCUAUAUACGUGCGUGCUUUUUUAAAAGGCAGAUAGAAAAGCAGAACUUACAAGACCUUUAGCUGCUGAGGUGGAAAGCCAGUAUUACUUCUACCACAGCAGUUGAUAUCAUCGGUCUCACCAGCAGGUCACGGAUUUGUUGCUUGCUCCCUGUGACAAUCUUGAACCAUUGUAGGGACCUUGGCAUAUAGAGGGACGGUGAACAGGGCUGAAAACAAAAUUGAACUCAAUCUUGAGCUUGGUAUUCCACCGAGAGCAGGUUUUCUGGGCUUUGAAAUACCGCCUCAGAGAGACCUUCCUUGAUAUUCUGCCAUGUUGAGAACAAGAACAAACUUUUUGGCCCUGGAACCUCUUCCCUCCCAGUGCCAACAUGUUCAAUUUCAUUUGCCCUUGGCUAAAUGUAGCUUCCUGUUUCUAAGAAAAGAAGCAGAAAGGGGCUUUUGAAGGCCUCACAGACAGUCUCAGAAGGCUUCAUGGGCAGCAGACAACUCUUAGCAAACAACAAUUUGAUGAGUUAAGUGUAAACGGCUCAGAGACAUAUGGAUUACAUUUUUUGGGAAAUACACAUGGGCUUACAAUGUAAAACUGGGUAGUGUGGGGUGGGGUGGAGAAGGGAAUGCUUGGAAAAGUGUGGUUUGGGUCUUGCUAAUUGCAAAAUAUUUGAAACAAAUAAUUUGAGAUGUUUUGCUCAACGUACAGCGCGGUUGGAUUUGCCCUUUCCAUCUAUUUACGUGUCAUUUUCAGAUUCGGCUCACAUACCAAUACUGGUUUGGGUCUUGAGUUGAUUUUUAAAAAUGCAGUUAUUUUGAAAGGUCAUGCCAUGUGAUUUCUGUGUAGCCUCUGAGCAUAAAGGGUGGGGUGGUAUAGGGGAAGAACUGGGCAUUUAGAAACCUCUCUGCCUGUAGGUCAAACUGCUGCUCAGCUCUUCUGGUAUAUUCUACUUAUGGAGGUUCCAAAUCCAGGCUGUGUUAGUAAGAUGCAGCAGCCUCAGUCUCCCCACCUGUAAAAUGGGGACAGUAAUACUUAUCCCAGAACCCAUGGCGAUUGGGAUGCUGUGUGGUGUGGAGUUAAAGUGUGGACCCUGGAGGCAUAUACCUGUGCAUAUCCCAGCUCUGCUGCUGAUGUGAGCUUGGGCAAGUUCUUCAGCUUCCCUGGGCUUUUGUUUCUUCAUCUGUGUAAUGAGGAAUAUCUUAGCAUCCACCACAUAGGGUUACCUUGAGAAUUAAAAGAUUUAACCCAGUCCCCGGCACACAAUAAGUGUUCAGCAAAUGCUAACAGUGGCUCUUGUUGUUUAUAAUUUAUCUUGUUCUAUUAAGUAUAUGAAUACAGUAGAUAAUAAGGCAAAUUCACCUCCAGGCUGGGGAGAGGAAUAGCCCCUUACCAAACAGUGAGGGUCUCCUUCAGCUUACCUUCUUUUUCUUAUUGUUUCAACCUAUGGAUUAAUUACCUAGUUUUGUGACCCCAAAAUAAAAGGGUAGAUUCCUUGAUCUAAAAUUAGACUCAUCUUUUCCCUAUCCUAGGAAGGAUCCGUUUCUCUCUUCUAUUUUACCACUGUCUAGCACCUGGAGACACUUGGUUUAAGAGCCCAGCUAGUUUAUACUAGAGUGUGAGGGAAUUCUGAGGGCUCAGGUGGAAGGAAAGCAUGAUUCCAGAGUGUUGUUGGGUUAAUGCAUUGCUUCUCAACCCUUCCUGCACAUUAGAAUGAAUUGAGAAGCAUUUCAAAAAUAAUAGAAAUGUUAGUGUGGGGCUUCGGUAUUAGUACAUUUUUUAACUCCCCAGCUGCUUCUAUUGCGCAGCCAGGACUGAGAACCACCCUGGCUAAGGCAUUCAGUGGCAUUGUAGGUGCUUCCCUGGGUCGUUUCUGACUCGCCCCUUUUAACUCACUGGCCCCUCGGACUCUGAUUUCUGCCCUUCAUGCAGUGGGAGAGCUUUCCUCUGGGGCUUGCCUUGAGGUCUGCAGGAGCAAGGCCACUUCCUCUCUGAAUCCUAGACACAGGCUUUGGGUCAGUACUCCCACCCACGUGGAGCCCCCUUCUGCCCCUCUGCUCUGGGGGAUCUUGUCUGAAUCCAUCCCUUCUUUGCCUGCCUUAUGCCUUCUAGCUACUAUUCCUCUGCCCUUCCUUUCUUGAUCAGCACAAUUCUGCUGCUUUAAGUCCUUUUUUCCAUUAACCAUUGACUGCCCUUUGCUCUGUCAAACAUAGUUUUGGAGGCUGUGUAGUGUAGUGAAAGAACAGGGAAUUUGAGGUUGGACCUGGGUUUAACUCUCUCCUUGAUUGCUGACAAGUUACUUAACCUCUACUCAUUUGUAAACUAGGAAUAAUCUGACCUGGAUGAGACUGCUGUGAAGAUGAAAAGAGGUAAAGGAGGGGUGAUGGUGUGGUAGUGGUGGCCUGGUGAGAAUGACGGUGGUGGAGUGAUGGUGAUAAUGAGAAUGAUGAUAAUGGUAAUGGCGGUGUUGCGGUGAGGGUGUUGAUGUGGUGGUAGUGCUGAUUUUCGUGGCAGGUGAUGGCUAUAGUGAUAGGGGUGGUGGUGAUGAUGGUGGUGGUAGUUGUAAUGGUGACUGUGAUGGUGGUGUUGAUGAUACUGGUGAUAGCAGUAAUGGUAGUGAUGAUGGUAAUGAUGGUGUUAAUGAUGGUGGUUUGAUGGUGGUGAACAUGACAGUGGAGGUGGUUGUAGUAAUGAUGAUAAUGAUUUGGUGGUGGUGGUAGUUGUGGUGGUGGUGGUGAUGGUGGCAGUGGUUUAGUGGUAAAAGUUCAGUCAAGAAAGAAGAAAGCUGGAGGAACCAACAGUAUUCUGAUCAGAGGAACCACAUGGGAAGCAUUGACAGAGGGUCUUUGCAUUUGCUAAGGCCAUGGGAGUAGCUGGUUGUAUCAGUUAGCAUUUGAUCAGGAAAUCAGAGCUACUCUGUAUGACACGGAAUAAGGGAUUAAUCAUAGGGAUUAAACUUACCCAUUAUGAAAACUAGUAAAAAAGUCUAGGCAAGGCUGUUGCCUCUGUAUCUGGUGUUGGGCUUGACGUUUCUUUGGGUCAGCAGGGCUUACAGAUGGGACAGAAAGUGGAUGGAAAGGGGAGAGCAAGAACAAACUGGACCAUGUCUCUGACUCUCACCACCUGCAGUGGUAACACAGUGACCUGCAGGAAAAGCCAAUGCCUCUCAUCUCAGGCCUGGACAUGCACCUGGGUCAGGACUCUGGGCUGGAGGAGACCCAGGGAGCCGGAGGUACUGGAGCCCUGCUCCAUCAAGGUGAGGCAGCAGGUCUGAGAUAUAUGUGAGCUGCUGCUGCGCCGGGUCCCUAAUUAAACCUCCUGAGUGGAAUGGCUACUGCUUCCCUUCUGCCUUCCAAUCUUCUCACAGAUUUCUCUUGUUGCCAGCUUUAAUCUGGAACCAUAGAGGAAGGAACUUUGGGAAAUGUGGUUCCUGCUUAGUUCUGGUGGCACAGCACAAGUCACUGCCGAGGGGUCCCCAUGUGGAUUGGAUGGGUUAAAAGCUUCAGCACCUGUAGUGGCCUGUGCAGUCUACUUGCUCUGACAUUUCAAGCCUGGAGAGGCAAGGGGGACAAGAGCUGAGCUGAGGGCCAUGCCAGGGAACUGGACAAGGAAGGCCUUGGCACUCUCAAGUCAGGGAAUAGCCUCGCCAUUUCAUCUCAUCCCCAGAUGCUGGAGUGCGUUGGUCUCCCUUCUAACCUCUAACCACUGAAAGGGACCCUCUGUACAACCAAUCCUUGACUUUGGAAUCAUGGGCUGAGUAAGGCUGAAACAUUUAGCCGUCUUUGGGACCCCAGUAUUUCCCUAGUCUCACUCUAGUGUCUCUUGAAGUGGCUGUCUUUCAAGGUGUUGACCCUACUCCCUGUUUCUAACAUCUGCCUGCUACAUAAUCCAGCUGGACUUCUCAGGUAUCCCUGGUGGCUGAACUCCUUAGACCAGGGAGCUCCCCUAGUGCCUCUAGUGCUGACAAAGUGCCACUUUGCAACAGUUUCUGCCCUUUUCCCGGUUCUCUGGCUUCUAAAGCCUUCAUUUAUCCACAGAUAGAAAUACAAUCAAUCCCAUCCUUACUCUUUCUUUUGACAAUUUUCUUCAUCAGAUAUACACUUAGAAUUUAACUCAACUGUGUUCUCUCCUAUUUUGUCGGUCACUGCUGUAACUUACAUGGAAUCAUGGUUGGGUGGCAGGGACUGAAGUAGUUAGUUCUCACUUAUUUACUGUGAAAUGAAUAGUUUGAGAUUCGGUCAGUAGUCAGAAUGGUAUUCUUCACUUCCUCCUUUUCUUUAUUUACUAUGCUACCUGGUUUGUGAACAUUUUCUCCAGCUGCAAGCAAUUUACACAAACUGUAAACUCUUUAUCCAUUAUAAUCCCUGUAACUAUGCCUAGAGACUGGAAAAUGACCAGUUGUCAUUACAUUCGGAAAAGCAUAGAAAGGAUCUCCUUACUUGUGGCCCUACACCUGGUACUUUUCAGAUAGUAGAUGAGUUAUUAGGAUGAUUUGCACCUCAGUUUUCUUAUCUGUAAAAUGGGAGGGUUGCCUUGCAUUUCAUGCUGUGUUCUUUGAUGCCCUGGGGGAUUGCCGGAUUGCCAGAGGACUCAUUGGGAAUUUGGGGAUGGGGAAGAGCAUGUGUCUAGAGGGCCUUCAUCCCUCAUUCAACUAGCAAAAAGCCACUUAUUCUGUGUUAUAUAUUUGGUUUCUAUGAGAGAUUGGAUUAUUGGUCAGCAAUAAAAAUCACUCCCUUCCUUCUUCCUCUUGGAGCAGACCGUAACUCCCCUGUUCUACUGACUUUGGGCUUGGCUAUAUGACUAACUUUGGCCAAUGAAAUGUGGGAGGAUGUGAUGUGAAUAGAGGCUUUAAAUGUACUUGCAUGGUUUGGCUUACCUCUUGUACUCUUCUGUUUGCUGUGAGAAUAUGCUGCAGGGAGCCACUGGUCCAAGGAGAAGAAGAGGGGUGUAGAACAGACCUAAACCCAACCUGUAGCCUGAAACAGAGCCGAGUCCAGCCUAGAUCCACUUAUAGUCAACCUGUUGAUCUGUUAGCACAAAAACACAUGCUGCCAUAAGCUGUUGUGUUUUGUUACACAGCUAUAGCUGUCUAAUUCAGCUUACAAAUAAGUUUUGUCCAUAAUCAUAUUUUUUGGUUUAAAAAAGUUUGAAAACCACUGGGUUUGCUGAGUUUUCAGCUUUCCCAUCCACUUCUACUGUCCUGUUUCUUUCUCUUUGUGUAUUUAGGAAAGAGAGGGAGAAAGAAAGGGUUUUGGAAACAACACAGUCUGGUAGAAAGAAAGAAAGGAUAAUUUUUUUCUUUUGAGGAAAGAGGGACUUAGGGAGCUGGGAGGAGAGAUAGGCACAUUCAUAGUUAAAGUAUGUUUUGUUUCUUUUUUGAACCCUCAAGUAAACAUUUCUCCACUGACAUUGUUUUGCACUGUUACAUUAUUUUGUUCACUUUAGUGUUCCAUUUGUACAACCUCUGAAAUUCCAGGAAGAAGGUGAAAGAAUAACAUUGCACAUAGCCCUGGGUUGUGCUGUGUUUACUUCAUGAUGGACCGUUCACUUGGGCUUAACCUUAAACUGACCUUUCUGAUUCCAGACGAGACAGCAAAGCUUUGCUCACAGAUUCAAAAUCAGGGAACAGAAACAGCUGACUUCCCUGGCCAAGGAUGUUUUCCAUUCUCAUUAUUUUUGUCCGUGGUCACAAAUGAGAUGCUAGGGAAGUAAUUUUUAGGAAUUCCUGGAGUACUUUACUUCUGAUGUGCAUGCACAGAUACCCUGGGGUCUUAUGCAAUUGGUACCCCACCCCAAAGUCUGGAUAUAUUCGUUGUAGGAUGAAGAGAGGGAGGAAGGAAGGAGGACUGAGGAAGGUCUUAGGCUAUUUUCAAGCUCUUUUUUGCUCCGCACUUUGCAACAUGGUUUUAUUUUAUUCUUAUAAGUUUUGAGAUCAUCUCAAAUAUAAAUACAAAACCAUUGAUCAAAGGCCAAGAAUAAGAAAUAUUUAGAUGCCCUCUAUUGCAGUGAAAAAGCAAAUGGUUGCUAUAUCAUGCGUAAAGGUAAUCUCUUCAAGGAUUAGCACUUUAGGUCAGAUCAUGGAAGCCUGGUUUUGUUUCUCAGAAAGAGUGUCUUUCUGGGGCUUGGGAGGCCAACACGAGGCAGGCUGAGCUUUGUCUAUGGCAGGAGCUGAGUUUGAGUCUAUCUCUGCCAUUAGCCUGUGCUCAGGUUGUGUCCCUACACUGAUGGCCAUCAGAAUUUGGGUAUCAAGUGAUUCGCUUGCUUGUACUAGAUUGAGCUCCUUUGAGGACAACAGGAGCCAUUAAUAUUUUAGAGCCAGA
rnacentral:lncRNA from 1 species